UACAGAGGUCUCAAGCGUUGUUCGGAUUCAUUGGGCGUAAAGGGUGCGUAGGCGGCGCGGUAAGUCGGGUGUGAAAUCUCGGAGCUUAACUCCGAAACUGCAUUCGAUACUGCCGUGCUUGAGGACUGGAGAGGAGACUGGAAUUUACGGUGUAGCGGUGAAAUGCGUAGAUAUCGUAAGGAAGACCAGUGGCGAAGGCGGCACUCUGGGCCGAUACUGACGCUGAGGAGCGAAAGCGUGGGGAGCGAACAGG
rnacentral:rRNA from 1 species